UGAAGAAGUUCAGACACAGUUCAUGGGAAGAGCUGAUGUUGGAAAGACCUUUUUGUGAUGGGGGAAGCAGUAGUGGUUAAAGCCGAGAAGCUGGAACUUCAGUCUCAGAAAUAAAGAUCAAGCACACAGCACAUUCCAACAAGUCCCACUGAGGCAUGGGUGGCCCUGGAGCAGGAAUUGCUUGAUCCUGGAAGUCUUGUGAGAAGACCUGGGGGCCAACCAUGCACGCCAUGUUGGCUGAGAAAGGGAGAGAGGUUCAACACUUGUUUAACAGUCGACUGUGAAUUUUUGAAACACAAUGCCCAAGACAUUUUAUUGAUGAAAGAAAUGUGUUGAUUUUACUCUUGUAGUCACUUUUUAGGCCUUUGUAUAUUGCUGUGACGGUAGACCAUGUUCUGUGGAGGAAGCGGGAUGUCGGACCACAGUCAGUCCCUGUAAAGCAGCU
rnacentral:lncRNA from 1 species